GGGGGUGUAGCUCAGCUGGGAGAGCACCUGCCUUGCACGCAGGGGGUCAGGAGUUCGAUCCUCCUCAUCUCCA
rfam:Clostridium sp. CAG:169 genomic scaffold, scf71